UACGUAGGCAGCAAGCGUUGUUCGGAGUUACUGGGCGUAAAGGGUGUGUAGGCGGUUGUUUAAGUUUGGUGUGAAAUCUCCCGCUCAACCGGGAGGGUGCGCCGAAUACUGAAUAACUAGAGUGCGGGAGAGGAAAGUGGAAUUCCUGGUGUAGCGGUGAAAUGCGUAGAUAUCAGGAGGAACACCGGUGGUGUAGACGGCUUUCUGGACCGUAACUGACGCUGAGACACGAAAGCGUGGGUAGCAAACAGA
rnacentral:rRNA from 1 species